rfam:TPA: Bos taurus chromosome 7, whole genome shotgun sequence.
UUCCUGGUGGCUCAGUGGUAAAGAAUCUGCCUGUCAAUGCAGAAGGCACGGGUUCGAUCCCUGAUCUGGGAA